ensembl:lncRNA
GAAGGUGUUAUCUCUGUGUUCUACUGAUCUGAAGGUGUUCUCUCUCUCUGUGUUCUACUGAUCUGAAUGUGUUCUCUCUCUCUGUGUUCUACUGAUCUGAAGGUGUUCUCUCUCUCUCUGUGUUCUACUGAUCUGAAGGUGUUAUCUCUGUGUUCUACUGAUCUGAAGGUGUUCUCUCUCUCUGUGUUCUACUGAUCUGAAGCUGUUCUCUCUCUCUCUCUCUCUGUGUUCUACUGAUCUGAAGGUGUUCUCUCUCUCUGUGUUCUACUGAUCUGAAGGUGUUCUCUCUCUCUCUCUCUCUGUGUUCUACUGAUCUGAAGGUGUUCUCUCUCUCUCUCUCUGUGUUCUACUGAUCUGAAGGUGUUCUCUCUCUCUGUGUUCUACUGAUCUGAAGGUGUUCUCUCUCUCUCUCUGUGUUCUACUGAUCUGAAUGUGUUCUCUCUCUGUGUUCUACUGAUCUGAAGGUGUUCUCUCUCUGUGUUCUACUGAUCUG